UCAGUAACUCCGCCUGUAGCUCUUAUAGGGUUGCUGCCGGUCCCAAGCCCGGGUAAAGGAGGAGGGUUGG
rnacentral:ribozyme from 1 species